GACGAACGCUGGCGGCGUGCUUAACACAUGCAAGUCGAACGGAAAGGCCCUGCUUUUGUGGGGUGCUCGAGUGGCGAACGGGUGAGUAACACGUGAGUAACCUGCCCUUGACUUUGGGAUAACUUCAGGAAACUGGGGCUAAUACCGGAUAGGAGCUCCUGCGGCAUGGGGGGGGGUGGAAAGUUUCGGCGGUUGGGGAUGGACUCGCGGCUUAUCAGCUUGUUGGUGGGGUAGUGGCUUACCAAGGCUUUGACGGGUAGCCGGCCUGAGAGGGUGACCGGCCACAUUGGGACUGAGAUACGGCCCAGACUCCUACGGGAGGCAGCAGUGGGGAAUAUUGCACAAUGGGCGGAAGCCUGAUGCAGCAACGCCGCGUGCGGGAUGACGGCCUUCGGGUUGUAAACCGCUUUCGCCUGUGACGAAGCGUGAGUGACGGUAAUGGGUAAAGAAGCACCGGCUAACUACGUG
rnacentral:rRNA from 1 species